ensembl:lncRNA
ACAAGCAGUUAACAAAAAUUAGACAUUUUUUAUAAAAAUAAAGUAUUUAUACUUUUUUUAUAAUAUAGUUAUUUUCAACCUUUUUUUUUUUUUUUUUUUUUCUUUUUUUUAGAUUUGUUUUACCAGUUAAAAUUGACAUACUUGCUUUUACAUGGAUAUGCAGCAUUUAACCUAAUAUUAAUGUUCCUAUUAUUAUAUACAAACUAUGUAGAAAAGCUUAAAAAAUAUAUAGAGAAAUGUUUUGUUAUAUACAUGAACGUAGUAUUAAUUUUAUGGGUUUCAUGGUUGUUCAUAUUAUUUAUUGAGGUUAAAUAUCAUUUACCAAAUGACACGACAAAAAAGCAAUUUUUAUUUGCAAUAUACACGCCUUAUACAAUAAAAAUUUUUUUCUCUUUGUAUGCAUACCUUCCGCUUUUUUUUUUAAUAACCGUUGUACCGUGCAGAUUAUGUUACACCUUUUAUUAUGACAUAACGCUGCUUAUAAUAAAAGUUGCAAUUUAUACCUAUUACUUCAUCGUAACAGUGAAAAAAUAUUUCCUAAUAGACAAAAUUUUUAUGAUGAUAUCAGUUGUUAUAGGAAGUUUUUUUAUUUUUAUUUUAAGGCAUAUUUUUGAAUACCAAAGACGAUUAACAUUUCAUAAUUCUAAUAAACAUAAUAAUCAGAUUAUGGAUUUAAAAAUCAACUUAAAAGAAAAAGAGAAGUUAGCUGUAACAAAUAUUGAAACAAUUCAUGAUUUAAUCAACGACUCUUUAAAAAAUUUUUAUAAUAACGAAACAGAAUCAGCCAAUGACAACCAGCGUGUGCUUAAUAAUUUAGAAAAAGUUUUAAGCAUUUUAAAAGAAGAUAAUUUAUUUUCGCCGGAGUUGAAAACGACAACACAAAAGAAUUAUAACAAUAUAUAUGAUUAUAUAAUGAGUAUAAAACAAAGUAAAUAUUUUUCAAGUAUUACUGAUACAUCGAAUAAGGAUUUAGCAUCACAUGAAUCUAAAUAUAUUAAAGCAGAAGAGACCAACGAAUUCAAAGAUGAAUCACAGACAGAGUCUAUUACUGAAUCAUUGUCAGAAUUAAAACCUCCGAGUAAAACUGAUUUACCAUCUAUUGACGAUUUGAAUGAAAAACAAUUGAAAAAUUCAAAAUAUACAAUUAAUAUAAACAUGGACACUGAAAAUAUAGACGUCAAUCAAUGGGACGUAAAAUUUUUAAAUAGACCCCAACUAAAUUAUGAUAUAUUCAUUCAAAUUGGCAAAAAAUUGUUAAGUACUUGUUACACUGAUAAUCAACAGAUCUCAGAUGAUACAUUAUUCUCACUACUUCAUGAAAUGAAAAAUGGAUAUAACAAUGUUCCAUAUCACAACUGUAUCCAUGCGGCAAUGGUAAAAGACAUACAUACAUAUACAUAUAUACAUACAUAUAUAUAUAUAUAUAUAUAUAUAUAUAUAUAUAUAUAUAUAUACACACAAAUUGGCUCUUUUACACAUAGGUAACCCAACACUGUAACAUUUUAGUAAAUAACUUAGAAACAUCAAACAUAUUAAAAGAUAACGAGCUUGCGGCAUUUUUUAUCUCAACUUUAGGUCAUGAUAUAGGCCACUUUGGAAGAACGAACUUUUUUCUUAAAAACAAUUCGAACUUUUUAAAUAUGAUUUAUAAUGAUAAAUCAAUUUUAGAAAAUUAUCAUUGUUCUUAUCUAUUUAGUAUAUUAAAUAAGGAUAAAAAUAAUAUAUUCAAAAAUGAGACUUCUAAAAGUUUAUUAAAUUUAAGGAAUCAGAUAAUAGAAGUAAUUUUAGCGACAGAUAUGAGUAAACACAUAAAAAUAUUAGCACAAUUUCGUAUAAAAUCCAUUAAGAUAAAAUCAUAUGUUGAAAAAAACAUUUUGUUAUGUUUAAAAAUGGUUAUAAAAGCAGCUGAUUUGGCACAUAACUGUGUUGAUUGGGAUGAGCAUUACUUAUGGGUAAAACGAUUAAUAAAUGAAUUUUAUUGUGAAGGAGAUGAACA